GUGAGGAAUUUUCCGCAAUGGGCGAAAGCCUGACGGAGCAAUGCCGCGUGAAGGAUGAAGGCCUAUGGGUUGUAAACUUCUUUUCUCAGAAAAGAAUUAUGACGGUAUCUGAGGAAUAAGCAUCGGCUAACUCUGUGCCAGCGGCCGCGGUAAGACAGAGGAUGCAAGCGUUAUCCGGAAUGAUUGGGCGUAAAGCGGCUGUAGGUUGUUUAAAAAGUAUUCUGUCAAAGAUUCGGGCUUAACCCUAGAUAGGCAGAAUAAACUUUUAAGCUAGAGGUUGGUAGAGGCAGAGGGAAUUCCCGGUGGAGCGGUGAAAUGCGUAGAUAUCGGGAGGAACACCAAAGGCGAAGGCACUCUGCUGGGCCAAUACUAACACUGAGAGACGAAAGCGAGGGGAGCAAAUGGGAUUAGAAACCCGAGUAGUCC
rnacentral:rRNA from 1 species